UGAUACCGUUGCAUUCUCAAAGAGAACUGAUAAUUUUGAAUUCGUACGAAUAAUUUUUUUGCCGCAUUUCAAGCCCUUCCCAGUCGGACUUUUUGGUGCUACCUUCGUUCCGCAGCAUGCGUGGCUGGCAUCUUUCGCAGCGUGAGCGCAGCUACCCCGAGUAGAGAGAGGAAAUUUGUUCUCUCAACAAAGAUUUUCCUCUCAAAAAACUUGACUUAGAAAAAAUUUCAGCUCUCUAGGGACUUAGAAAAAUUUUUGCGUGGGACUUUUAACUUAGAAAAAAUUUAUUCAUGAAGAAAUUUAUGAAUAAUAGUUAUAAUUUAAGUAACGUAUAAUAACAUAAAGUGAAAAAAUGUGCAUAAUUGUAAUUACUUAAAAUUGUUUAAAUUUGUGGCAUACAAAUAAAAGUUAUAUAAAAUAAAAAUUACAAAAUAAAACAAAAAAAAUUUAAAAGGAUGGGAUUUACCCCAUACUAUAAAUAUUAGAAGGAUAAAAAAGGAAAAAAAAGGUAAAAAAAUAAAAGUAAAUUAUUUAACAAUAAUUAGUGGAAAAUUAGUGAAGGAAAAUGAGUGAAAGGGUUGCCAGUGCGUGGGCGAUAAUUGUCAAAGCGCGGAAAAUCGGUUGCAUCCUACAAGUGUGGCAACUCACUCACCCCAUUUUUCCUGAAGUUUCUCAACGACGCACGUGUUCCCAAAAAAUCUGCCAUGGAUCGCAUUUUCGCCCUUAGCGACACACCUGCCAAUUGCUGCUGCUCAUCCUUGCAGGCAAAGGUAGACAGCCUUGAAAGUAAGUUUAUUUUAAAUUCUGACUUUUAUAAUUAUUUUUAAUGUUUUUUUGUAUUUUUUUUUUAAAGAGAAACUGGAUGAGAUGCAAAGUAAGUAAGAUUUAAAUAUAUGUACAUUAAAAUAUUAAUCAAAUUUCCACCUCUUUCAGAAACAAACAUAUCUAUGAAUAGUAAAAUUCUUGCAUUCAUGAAUCAAUUUUCAAAGAAUAUGGGCGAUCCUCAGCCCAUAUUGCCUCUAAAUAAUGAAGACGAUAUUCGGGCAA